GGAAAGUCUAUAUCUUGAAGCUAUUAAACUCCAAAUGGCGCCGCGGAUGGAACCUCGCAUGGACAUGCCAUUCUUCCAAGGACCCUUAGAUCGACUCCAGGAGGAGCUCUAGCUGCUGUGCCCCACUCAAUGCCCCUCUCUUCAGCAGGAAGUAGCCAGAAAGUCAUUGCCCAAUACCCCCUAACAGGAGUUAGGGUUACCACUCCUGAGAGGGGAAAUAUGAUACAGGAGCUAGAAAGAAAUUAUUUGGCAGACAGUGAGGGUGAAUAAGUCCUCAGCAAGGUUUCCCUUUUAAGAAAACGCAGCCCCCAAAUCAUUUCUUUUCUAACAAAGAGCAGCCUGAAAAAUUGAGCUGCAAACAUAGGUAAGCAAGUUGGAAGCUUGCACGGGGGGAUGCCGGCACCUGUGCUGAUAGAAGAAAGCUACCGGGGGCCAGGCAUGUUCAACAUGGAGGCUCCAUCUUCCCUUUUGUCACCAUGUGUACAGUAAAAAAAGCAGGCAACAUGGCACCGGCCAGGUAGAGAAUCCAUCUGAAUAAUAAAAGAUUAGGGUGGGGCGGCCAGCUUCUUUGUGCACUAUGCAAACAGCACACCUAGUCCUAACCAGUUCUUUGAAUGCUAUGUAAACGGCACACCUUGUCCAACCAAUCUUUCAUUCCCUAUGUAAAUUAGACACCACCUCCUCAAGCACAUCUAUAAAACCUCCUGCACUUCACUGCAGACCAGAAGACCUGCUUGGGACCUCCUCUCUCUUCAGGAGAGAGCUUUUCUCUUUCUUUCACCUAUUAAACCUCCAUUUUUAACCUC
rnacentral:lncRNA from 1 species